GUCGAGAAGGACAAACAGAGAUAGAGGAGGCGGAUGUGAUAUGCUUGGCAUUAUGCUGUGAGGAUAGAGGGCCAUGGAUCUGGAUGUGGAGAUUGUGAAAGUCCAUGUGACGUUCGUGUCAAGAUGAGCGGCCGUUCCUGCUGACAUUGUGUCAACUAGAAGAAUUUUAGGCGCUCUUUUGUCAAAGACC